rnacentral:tRNA from 1 species
AAGAUACUAGUAUAACUGUCAAUACACUGCCUUGUCAAGACAGAGUUGUGGGUUAGACCCCCGCGUACCUUG